UACAGAGAGCGAAUUGGAGAUAGAGAGCAAUUGAGUGACGAAGAGAUACAUUGAACCUAGAGACGUUAAUAGGUGGAGAUCGAUCGGAGACAAAGAGACGAAGUUAAACAGAAAACAGAAAACUCCUUCUAGCCUUCAAUCCUUCAAUUUUUGGGUUCAAUUUGGGAUUUAGGGUUUAACAAGUUUUGGGGAAUGAUNNNNNNNNNNNNNNGAGAGUGAGGAACGAUGGAGAGUGAUUAUUGAGAGUUUCAUGAAGAACGAUGGAUAUGGAGAUUGGAGAGUGAGGAAGAGUGAAACGGCGGACCGAGAAAAAGUGGAAUGAAACCUUAUGAAAUUUUCAGCGAAAUAUUUUAGUGUUUUUUUUCUUUCCCGGAAAGACCUAUAUUAGCGUUUCAUGAAAAGUGCUAUCAAAGGGACAUAUAUUUUAUAGCGCUCGCAAGGAAAGCGCUAUUAAAGGCCCCGCUUAAAAUUUAUUUCCACUAUAUUAUAGCACUUCCGACAAAAAGUGCUAUUAUAAGCGUCAGAUUGAGAUUUUUAAUAGCACUUCAGAAAAAGUGCUAUUAAAUUAGUGCUAUU
rnacentral:lncRNA from 1 species